rnacentral:rRNA from 1 species
GAUGAACGCUGGCGGCGUGCCUAAUACAUGCAAGUCGAGCGAACAGACGAGGAGCUUGCUCCUCUGACGUUAGCGGCGGACGGGUGAGUCACACGUGUAUAACCUACCUAUAAGACUGGGAUAACUUCGGGAAACCGGAGCUAAUACCGGAUAAUAUAUUGAACCGCAUGGUUCAAUAGUGAAAGUCGGUUUUUCUGUCACUUAUAGCUGGAUCCGCGCCGCAUUAGCUAGUUGUUAAGGUAACGGCUUACCAAGGCAACGAUGCGUAGCCGACCUGAGAGGGUGAUCGGCCACCCUGGAAGUGAGACAGGGCCGAGACGCCUACGGGAGGCAGCAGUAGGGAAUCGUCCGCAAUGGGGGAAAGCCUGACGGAGCAAGGCGGCGUGAGUGAUGAAGGUGUUCGGAGCGGAAAACUCUGUUAUUAGGGAAGAACAAAUGUGUAAGUAACUAUGCACGUAUUGACGGUACCGGAUCAGAAAGCCACGGCUAACUACGUG